rnacentral:misc_RNA from 1 species
GUAGGUGAACCUGCGGAAGGAUCAUUAUUGAAUAAACCUGAUGGGUUGUUGCUGGCUUCGUAGAAGUAUGUGCACGCCUGUCAUCUUUAUCCAUCCACCUGUGCACCCUUUGUAGUCUUGGAGGUAGCGAGCGCGAAGCAUCUCGGAGUAUCAUUCCUUGAUGCCAGUAGUGCAAGUUUCUCUGGGUCUAUGUCUUUCAUAUACCACGUAGAAUGUAACAGAAAGUCUUUAUUGGGCCUCAGUGCCUAUAAAACACAAUACAACUUUCAGCAACGGAUCUCUUGGCUCUC